AAAAUAUGUGAGAAAUGAGGUAUCUACCUAAUGGUAGGAAGAAAUUAUUUAUGUAAUGGUAGGAAAAAUAAUUUCACUUUAAUUACGUAUUAGAAAAUCAGUAAUCUUAAAUUAGGAUGCAUCAAUGGAGAAGGCAAUUGUAAUCACAAUACAAUAAUAGAUCUACAAAUACCAAGCAAUACAUUAAAUCAAAAAUUGUCAGCUUAUUGAUAGCUCGAUUACCAGUCAAAUAGUUUCGAUG